CAUAAUUCAUCCUUUGAAACCCAUUUUAAAAUCAGACAUUGCAUUACCAUGGAAAAGGUACAUUAAAAUCAUGUUACAAAAUAUUUUCAUUCAUGAAUUAUAAAAAUUUAAGUUUGGAUAGUGCACUAUAAUGUCUACGUUCAAAACUGUGAGUGACAGUUAAGGGGUUAAUGCUGUAAUUUUACAAUGAUUGCACCAUUUCCUGCUAUCUGAAGCAGUAUUUAGAGUAACUUUUACAUUAUAAGUGAAAGUGCAGCUCACAAUGACCCUGGUUACCCUGCGGCACUAAUCGUCUAUUAUAUCCCUCUUUGCAGUUUCUAUAGUCGGUCAUUAGACCAUCAUCCUCUAUUUUAGCUUGGUACUGUGUGACCCCCUUUCUUUUUGAAAAAGAAAAAAAAAAGUCAUAAUUCUGUUGAAUAAUUCAAAGGGGUGAAAUUGAGAGGCUCUAGAGUUUCGACUGGUUAUUGUUCCUGGGCAAGGUCGCUGAAUGCUAGUAAAAGGUGAACUCUUCAUGCACGGUACUCAUCACCUGCCAGGUUCUGUUCAGCCAGGCUAUGGUCCACUGCUACAACAUCAUCGCACACACACACACCCACAUACACUCGUCUAUGCAUGGACACACACACGUGAGGUCAACCACAUGCAAAGAGUGAAGGCCACUCGGGAGGAGGAUGCCACGGCACAAACUCAUCGCAUCUGAAAGUGACGUGAGCAUUGAGGUGGAUGAAGGGAAGGAUAAUGAAUUCAGCCUUUACUACGUGGAAGUAGAGGAAAACUCUAAGGGAGGUAAGGAGAAGCAGGCGACACGAGAUGGCAAACGGAGAAGAGCGAGAAAUGGUGAAGUUAGCAGGAGAAGAGCUUCAGAGAAGAGAACAACUAAUAUGGCCAAUAAAAGAGCGGAAAAGAAACAUGAGAAACACCACAAAACAACAAGGAAAGAGGGUGAGAGACACAGAAAAAGGCAAAGAAGAAGGAUUGCAGAUGAAGAGGAGGCUGAGGAAGAAUCCAGCAAAGAGAAAAAGAACAUUAAAAAUGAAAGAACCAAGACACUAAAACUGGAAGAUGAGAAGGAAAAAGAUGUGAAGAAAAAGAGAAAGAAGCAUGUUAAAAAUCAGGAGGACGAUGCAAAUCCUGGAAAGACAAAACAGAAAGAUUGUCAAGACGUUCCCUUGAAGGAAAAGAAAAAGAAAAGAAAGAAGCCAGAGACUACCUCAGAAUCGGAGUCACAAUCUGAGUCACAAUCUGAAUCGAACUCUGACUCCGAGGCAAAAGACAAUCAGGCAGUGGGAGUUUUGGGGUCUCUGACCCCCGAGGAGCUGGAAAAGUUAAAAGAAGCAGUGGACGAAAGGAAAAAGCUGAUCACCACAAUAAAAGGAAAACCCUGGCCCAUGAAGAAAAAACUAGUUAUCCUUAGGGAGUCACAGGAGUUUGUGGAGAAAUAUGAAGGGGCUUUGGGAAAAGGCAAAGGCAGGAAGCUGUACGCCUACAAGGUCUUGAUGAUGAAGAAAUGGAUGAAGUUUGAACGUGACCUUGAGAAUUUCAAGACUGCCUGCAUCCCGUGGGAGAUGAAGAUAAAGGAAAUAGAAAGUCAUUUUGGUUCAUCAGUUGCCUCUUACUUUAUAUUUCUGAGGUGGAUGUAUGGCAUCAAUAUGAUUUUAUUUGGACUGACAUUUGGGUUAGUAAUGGUUCCAGAGGCUCUUAUGGGGAAACCAUAUGGUAGUAUGCCCAGGAAGACAGUGCCCAGAGAGGAAGAGGCCAGUGCUAUGAAUUUUGCAGUCUUGUGGGAUUUUGGGGGCUAUGCUAAGUACUCUGUCCUCUUCUAUGGCUACUAUAAUAACCAGCGGGCCAUUGGUUGGCUCAAAUUCCGCAUGCCCCUGUCCUACUUCCUGGUGGGAGUGGGUACAGUGGCGUAUAGCUACAUGGUGGUAAUCAGGACUAUGGCCCGCAAUGCAAAUGAAGAAGGUGGCGGAGAUGACACCAGUUUUAAUUUCAGCUGGAAGACAUUUACUAGUUGGGAUUACCUCAUUGGAAAUCCUGAGACAGCAGACAACAAGUUCGCCUCCAUCACCACUAGUUUUAAGGAGGCCAUUGUGGAGGAGCAAGAGAGCAGAAAAGAUGACAACAUCCACCUGACAAGAUUCCUUAGAGUGCUGGCCAACUUCCUGGUGCUCUGCUGUCUGGCAGGGAGUGGGUACUUGAUCUACUUUGUAGUACGCAGGUCUCAGAAGUUUGCUCUGGAGGGACUGGAGAACUACGGCUGGUGGGAGAGGAAUGAGGUGAACAUGGUGAUGUCUCUGUUGGGAAUGUUCUGUCCGAUGCUGUUCGACGUGAUCAGCACUUUAGAGAACUAUCAUCCACGCAUCGCCCUCCAGUGGCAGCUGGGACGCAUAUUUGCCCUUUUCCUGGGGAACCUCUACACCUUCAUCAUCGCUCUCAUGGAUGCCAUCCAACUAAAGAGGGCAGAAGAGGAGAUUGUGAAGAAGAAUAUGACAAUCUGGCAGGCUAACCUGUACAACGGGACUGUGCCAGACAACUCAACUGCUCCUCCGAUCACAGUGCACCCUGCUGAUGUUCCCAGAGGGCCUUGCUGGGAGACAAUGGUUGGACAGGUACUGGGGAAGAGUAGUUCAGAGUUUGUUCGUCUCAUCAUUUCUGAUACAAUGACGACUUACAUCACCCUGCUUAUUGGGGAUUUCAUCCGUGCCGUACUGGUGCGAUUCCUAAACAAUUGCUGGUGCUGGGAUCUGGAGUAUGGCUUUCCGUCCUAUUCAGAGUUUGACGUCAGUGGGAAUGUUCUGGGGCUGAUCUUCAAUCAGGGAAUGAUCUGGAUGGGGGCAUUCUACGCUCCAUGUCUUCCAGCAUUAAAUCUUCUCCGGCUUCACGUGUCCAUGUACCUGCAGUGUUGGGCGGUGAUGUGUUGUAAUGUGCCUCAGGAACGAGUCUUCAAAGCUUCAGGCUCCAAUAACUUCUACAUGGCCAUGCUGCUAGUCAUCCUAUUCCUCUCUACACUGCCAGCUAUAUACACCAUUGUCUCCUUUCCUCCCUCCUUUGACUGUGGACCUUUCAGUGGGAAAAACCGCAUGUUUGACGUGAUUCAGGAGACCCUGGAGACAGACUUUCCUGCCUGGUUCGGUAAAGUAUUCAGUUAUGCCUCGAACCCCGGGUUGGUGCUGCCCUUUCUUCUGCUCCUGGUCAAAAUGAGGAAAACAAGAAAAAGAACAAACUCGCAGCCUUAAAAGCAGCCAAUGAACUGGAGCAGGCGAGGAAAGCAGGAGAACAACGCAGCAACAGCGCCUCCGAUUUAGGAGUGAAUGAAGAAAGCAGCAGCCUAGAUGAAGCAGGCCAUCACAGACAAGCUGGACAGAAUGGUCGCUUAAUUCACCCCUCACAGAGUCAGCAUGCUCAAAGCUCAGAACCUCCCGUCUCCUCGACCCACACAACUACCAGACCCCCUGCAUCCCGGAGCCACACAGCAUCUGGACAUCUUCCAGGUCACCCACAGCAGCCACAGAAAAACUCUCACUCAAACAGGAGAUAAACCGCACAUAGAUAAAUAGAUGAAUCUCUUUGUUGCAUGCACAACAUUUGGCACUUAUAUGACCAUUUUUAUUUCUUGUUGAUACAGUAUAAAUCCUGGGCCUGGGCCUGCAGCACAUAUCAUGAAUGUCUCAGUAGAGCUCAAGGACUUGAUGGCUAUGUAACUCUAGAAUGAUAAGUCUUAUCUCUGUGAAAGAGAAAUGACUGCUCUCGUUACACGCAGGCCAAACUAGGGUCAAUCUAUUCCUUGAUUUGUUGUUUUUAUAUGUAUUUUUUAGGUUUAGAAAUAUUUGCUUGAUUGUUGGUUUACUUGCCAAUUGCAACUAAUUAUUAAACUACAGUCGAACCAGGGGCGUUUCUAACAUUUCAUCGGUACUACUGCGGCAAGUCUCCCCCAUCAAAAAAAGUGUGCUCAUAUUUUGAUACCCUUUUUAAAAAUCAGUUUUACCUGCAGUACAGGGUUGUUCAUGCAAGCUGCACAUGCAAUAAAGAGCUGCUUCGUCAUUGACAAAUGACAGAACACAUUUGUUAGUUUUGAUUUAUUGAUAUAGGGACUAAUUCUCACUGUUAACUACAGUAGUUGCUUAUUAGCAUGCCUAUUAUUAACAUAUUGGCUGUUUAUUAGUCUUUAUAACGCACAUGUUCUGCAUGACCAUAUU